UACGUAGGGUGCGAGCGUUGUCCGGAAUUAUUGGGCGUAAAGAGCUUGUAGGCGGUUUGUCGCGUCUGCUGUGAAAUCUCAAGGCUCAACCUUGAGCUUGCAGUGGGUACGGGCAGACUAGAGUGUGGUAGGGGAGACUGGAAUUCCUGGUGUAGCGGUGAAAUGCGCAGAUAUCAGGAGGAACACCGGUGGCGAAGGCGGCUAUCUGGACAGAAACUGACGCUGAGGCGCGAAAGCUAGGGGAGCAAACAGG
rnacentral:rRNA from 1 species